UACGUAGGGUGCAAGCGUUGUCCGGAAUUAUUGGGCGUAAAGAGCUCGUAGGCGGUCUGUCGCGUCGGAUGUGAAAACCCAGGGCUCAACCCUGGGCCUGCAUUCGAUACGGGCAGACUAGAGUUCGGUAGGGGAGACUGGAAUUCCUGGUGUAGCGGUGGAAUGCGCAGAUAUCAGGAGGAACACCGGUGGCGAAGGCGGGUCUCUGGGCAGUAACUGACGCUGAGGUGCGAAAGCGUGGGGAGCAAACAGG
rnacentral:rRNA from 1 species